AGGACGAACGCUGGCGGCGUGCUUAACACAUGCAAGUCGAGCGGAAAGGCCCUUCGGGGUACUCGAGCGGCGAACGGGUGAGUAACACGUGAGCAAUCUGCCCUUAGCUUCGGGAUAGCUCCGGGAAACCGGAAUUAAUACCGAAUAUGACUUCGGCCGACAUCGGCCUUGGUGGAAAGUUUUUCGGCUAGGGAUGAACUCGCGGCCUAUCAGCUUGUUGGUGGGGUAAUGGCCUACCAAGGCGACGACGGGUAGCCGGCCUGAGAGGGCGACCGGCCACACUGGGACUGAGACACGGCCCAGACUCCUACGGGAGGCAGCAGUGGGGAUAUUGCGCAAUGGGCGAAAGCCUGAUGCAGCGACGCCGCGUGAGGGAUGAAGGCCUUCGGGUUGUAAACCUCUUUCAGCAGGGAAGAAGCGAAAAUGACGGUACCUGCAGAAGAAGCACCGGCUAACUACGCGCCAGCAGCCGC
rnacentral:rRNA from 1 species